rnacentral:rRNA from 1 species
CUGACCCAGCACGCCGCGUGAGUGAUGACGGCCCUAUGGGUUGUAACCUCUUUUGUUGGAACAAAUGAUGGGGUUAGGAAAUGAGCUCCAUUUGACGGUACCUUACCAGAAAGCCACGGCUAACUACGUG